AUUGAACGCUGGCGGCAUGCCUUACACAUGCAAGUCGAACGGCAGCGACGGGGGCAACCCUGGUGGCGAGUGGCGAACGGGUGAGUAAUACAUCGGAAUGUACCCAGUAGUGGGGGAUAACUAGUCGAAAGAUUAGCUAAUACCGCAUACGCACUAUGGUGGAAAGCGGGGGAUCGCAAGACCUCGCGCUAUUGGAGCAGCCGAUGUCCGAUUAGGUAGUUGGUAGGGGUAAAAGCCUACCAAGCCUGCGAUCGGUAACUGGUCUGAGAGGACGACCAGUCACACUGGGACUGAGACACGGCCCAGACUCCUACGGGAGGCAGCAGGUGGGGUAAUUUUGGACAAUGGGGGAAACCCUGAUCCAGCAAUGCCGCGUGUGUGACGAAGGCCUUCGGGUUGUAAAGCACUUUUGGCGGGAACGAAACGGCGCUUUCUAAUACAGAGCGCUAAUGACGGUACCCGCAGAAUAAGCACCGGCUAACUACGUG
rnacentral:rRNA from 1 species